rnacentral:rRNA from 1 species
CCUACGGGAGGCAGCAGUAGGGGAAUCUUGCGCAAUGGGCGAAAGCCUGACGCAGCAACGCCGCGUGCGGGAAGAAGGCCUUCGGGUUGUAAACCGCUUUUGGCAGGAACGAAAAUGACGGUACCUGCAGAAUAAGGUGCGGCCAACUACGUGCCAGCAGCCGCGGUGACACGUAGGCACCAAGCGUUGUCCGGAUUUAUUGGGCGUAAAGAGCUCGUAGGCGGUUCAGUAAGUCGGGUGUGAAAACUCUGGGCUUAACCCGGAGACGCCACCCGAUACUGCUGAACUUGAGUUCGGUAGGGGAGCGGGGAAUUCCUAGUGUAGCGGUGAAAUGCGCAGAUAUUAGGAGGAACACCGGUGGCGAAGGCGCCGCUCUGGGCCGAAACUGACGCUGAGGAGCGAAAGCGUGGGUAGCAAACAGGAUUAGAUACCCUGGUAGUCCACGCCGUAAACGUUGGGCACUAGGUGUGGGUUCCAACCAACGGAAUCCGUGCCGUCGCUAACGCAUUAAGUGCCCGCCUGGGGAGUCGGCCGCAAGGCUAAAACUCAAAGGAAUUGACGGNNGAGANGCAGCGACACGAGGAGAG